rnacentral:rRNA from 1 species
UACGGGGGGAGCAAGCGUUGUUCGGAUUUACUGGGCGUAAGGGCGCGUAGGCGGCCACCGCAAGUCAGUUGUGAAAUCUCUGGGCUUAACCCAGAAAGGUCAACUGAUACUGCGGGGCUAGAGUGCAGAAGGGGCAACUGGAAUUCUCGGUGUAGCGGUGAAAUGCGUAGAUAUCGAGAGGAACACCUGCGGCGAAGGCGGGUUGCUGGGCUGACACUGACGCUGAGGCGCGAAAGCUAGGGGAGCGAACGGG